GUAGCCGAGCGCCAAUGCGGCUCUUCCAGCACCUCGAAGAUCGCCGCCCCGAUGGACAGGUAGAAGAUGAUGGCCGAGAAACUGUGGCUCCCUGUGCUCUCAGAAGGGUGUAAGCAAAUGCAGAAGUGCAGAAGAGGAGAGGAAAUCUCAUGGUGCCACCUGAAGGAAGAAGAGGCAGUGAGAUUAACAGUGCCCCUUCAACCAGCAAGAAAAAGAGGAACCAUGAACCCUGAAAAUGCCCCAGAUGGGAAAGAAUGAAGCACAGAAAUGAUGCAACGGUUUAAAGAAGGCUUGGUAGAGCCAGGUAUGGAAUACAGAUCUCCUGACACUUGAGCCAGUGCCUUCACCUCACUAUCUUUGCCCUUUUAUCUGCAUGCUGUGCAACAGCCAUUCAAGCUGGACAUGUACAAAAAAAAAAACGUUUUUAAGAAUGGAUGCUUAAACUCCUGGCUUCAUAGCUAAGCUCCAAGUGUGCUAACUGUCCAGAACAUCAUCAGGCAUGAGAUUUCACUAGUUUCAAAAAGCAGAACUUAGUGACUAAAUAAGGAUUAAGGACCCUAGUUGUAUCCAUGCUUUCUUCUUUUUUUUAAUCUUUCCCUUUUUCUAAAAAAGACUUCUAAGAGGCCAUGCUGAGUGUGAAAGUAUCACAGAAAAUAAAGAUAUUGUGAAAAGAAAAAUAAACUGCUUUUGCUUCACUGGUGUCUGUAUGUCUAUCUGAGAUGUCAUUAUAACCAAGGCUGAUU